GUGAGGUGGAGCAAAACUCAAAAACUUGUCUCAGUUCGGAUUGUAGGCUGAAAUUCGCCUUCAUGAAGCCGGAAUUGCUAGUAAUGGCAGGUCAGCAUACUGCCGUGAAUACGUUCCCGGGCCUUGUACACACCGCCCGUCACACCAUGAGAGUUGGGGAUACCCGAAGCCUGUGAGCUAACUUUUAGAGGCAGCAGUCGAAGGUAGAAUCAAUGAUUGGGGUGAAGUCGUAACAAGGUAGC
rnacentral:rRNA from 1 species